rnacentral:rRNA from 1 species
GGGGGGGGGGGGGGGGGGGGCGGACGGGUGGGGGGCGGACGGCGGCGGGCCCGUCGGGGUGCCGGCGAGGGGCGAACGGGUGAGUAAUGCAUCGGAACGUACCCGGGAGGGGGGGAUAACCGGCCGAAAGGCUGGCUAAUACCGCAUGAACUCGGAAGAGCAAAGCGGGGGACCUUCGGGCCUCGCGCUCUCGGAGCGGCCGAUGUCCGGUUAGGCCAGUUGGUGGGGUAAAGGCCCACCAAGGCGACGAUCGGGAGCGGGUCUGAGAGGACGAUCCGCCACACUGGGACUGAGACACGGCCCAGACUCCUACGGGAGGCAGCAGUGGGGAAUCUUGGACAAUGGGCGCAAGCCUGAUCCAGCAAUGCCGCGUGGGUGAAGAAGGCCUUCGGGUUGUAAAGCCCUUUCGGCGGGGAAGAAAUCGGUCAGGCGAAUAGUCUGGCCGGAUGACGGUACCCGCAGAAGAAGCACCGGCUAACUACGUG